GGGGCUUCGGUGGCCAAGUGGUUAGCGCACUUGCCUUUCACCUCUGAGGCUGCAGGUUCGAGUCUCCUUCUCAGUACCUUCUCAGUGCGACUCGAACCCAGUCCCCAUGUGAAAAGAGUAAAAAGUCAACGCUCUGCCGAAAGCCGUGGGUUUUCCCCGGGUACUCCGGUUUCCUCCCACAGGGAAAGUUGACAGGGUGGGUUAGGUAAAAAAAGGGCCCACAGUAAUUGGCAUAUGCUGUUGUGGUGACCCUGCCCUAGUUGGCAAAGCUAAAUAAAUAAAUAAA
rnacentral:lncRNA from 1 species